ensembl:lncRNA
GGGGGGUGGGGGGGGGAUCGGAGGGCCGUUCCCUCUUAGGGGAGCUUUUCUGUUUAUGCUACGUUCCAUCUGUAUCGGGUUACAGCUCGGCGCCUGUGUCCGCCAAGAGAGGCUUAACUAAAAAAAAAAAAAUUUAGAGGCCCGGGCGAGGAAUAACGGGUCACAAAAGAUUUACUUCACCCCUGUACAGGAACCUGUCCUUCAUGCAAGAACAAUACAUCCAGUAGAAAAAGAAAUGGAGCGAGGUAGGCAGGGCCAGGUUGGGGGGGUGGGGGGGGGUAGAGACGGAGGAUUGAUGACACAGUGAGGAGAGGCAUAGAGAGGCGAAGGAGGGGAGAGUCCCAGAGUUCAUUCUCACAGGGGAGGGGAGCGAGCUUCAUGUUGGACGGCAUUGGCUUCAAAGGCAUUUUGAAAUUGAAAAAGCGAAUUGAGAGCUGGGGUGGGAUGAGAUGGAAAGAGGCGACAGGAAAAGAAGGGGAGAAGCCCACGGGAGACCGACAGACGAAUGAAAAGAGGGAGACAAAGCAGAGGGGAGAAAGGUGAGGGUCCCCGGGGAUGCGUUUCGCAUUUAAAUCUGAAAUUGGAAACUGAGUGGCAGGUCAAUGCUCAGCAUCGCAGCUAAUACUAUCUCUCUAUAUCUAACGCUCUCUCUCUCUCUCUCUCUCUACUCCCCUCCUCCUCUUCCUGUGUGCGGAGCAGUGCAGAUGGUGCAGUCUUCGCCCGCAGAUAUUAAGAAACCCAGGAGACCACGCGCGUGAGAGUGUACUCGGUUCUCUGCUCCCUUUACAGCCAUUCUGUGGCGCGCUCGUACCCACCAGAGAGCUAUGCAUGCAGACUGCAACUAUCACUCAGAGUGCUUGGGGAGGGGGGAUCGGGUGGGGGUGAAUCCCGUGAUCUCCAAUGUUUUAACAUAUGUUGGUGAACCAGUGUUUGAUCACAAAGAGAAGUCCCAUGUUCCAUCGCAGACAAGCUCUCCAAUGGCUCCCGAGUCUCUGCCGGUAACAUGCAAUUAUGUGGCUAUGAUGUCAUCGAUUUUCUGCACUGGUCGGGAGCUGCACGAUGCCGAGCGAUUAGAAAGUGCUGGAAAGUGCCUCGCCGUGUGGAAUACUAAUAUGCUCAUUUGUGAGCAGUGGGUAAAAGGGAAAUGUUUUUUCCAUGCAGCCCGCUAAUGUUUACCUCAACAGAGUUGGGAGCGGAGGAAAGACUGACUGAAUGAAUGACUGAGUGGCCGAGUGAGUGGCAGGCUGACUCAGCCCUGACAGACAAGUUGGAUCCCGGCUGUCAGACAGGCUGAUGGGCCGGUCCCGGGGCCCUAAGUGGACAGAGCAGAAGAGGAGGAAGAGAAAUGAACGAUAAGCCUGAUUCGGUCUCAUUCCAAAUAAGAUGUCCACCAUUUGGAAAAUGAGUGACGGGGACAAAAUGAUUGGUUGUGGAAACAGGAAAUGAAAUGAUUUCAUUUUAGCAGAAAAAAUUAAAGUUCCAGAGUACAACACGGUGCUUGAGUAUAUGACCGAUAAUCACUGUUUGACAACUCAUAUUUCAUAAGGGAAUAAAACAUAAGACAAAAAAAAGGAAUAUAAAAAAAAGUUUGGCGCCAAAGAACACAUUUAACAUCCAGAAGAAAAGGGACCUCCAUCAGUAUGAUCGAGGACACCUGCAGGAAGCCAAGAUGCUGCUGACUGUCAAAGCACAAUCAAGGGCAGAGAAUAGCGAAUUAAUUAAAAAGCUUAAAUUCAAACAAACGCCAGUUGUUUCCAGUCGUUAUGCAAAGGGAUUCUAAUGGCUGAAGAGUCAUAAAUCUGAUUUUUGAAAGAGACAUGAAUAAAUAAAAUGAGAUUAACAGAAAGACCCAGAAGACUGAAACCAAAUACACAGUCGACCUGUUACAACAAUUACAUUAUGAGUAGGAAGGAAGGAAAGAGAGAACCAAGUAUGGAAGCUAGAAGGACAAAGACAGCAUGUUUCCUCAGUGCGAAGAAGGCUAAUAGAGACUGUGAGAGAGAACGGAGAGAGGUUAAGUGAGGGAGUUGGAUGAGUGUAAGGCCGGUUAAAAGCCAUUGAUAAAGAGACGUGGAGAGAACUUAAGUGUUAAAUCCUUCUCUCUCCAACACAGAGGAGCUCUUUGUUCCUAUUAAAGCUGGAGAGGAGCGUCCAUGCACAAAAAGACUCGGAGGCAUCUAGCUUUCUCAAAUUCCAAAUAACAGCAAUUGCCGGCGCACAGGAGUGUGACCAACUCAAUUUUGUAAAGCAAAAAGGCUCAAUCCUGGAGCAGCAAUGCAGAGAAGUGGAUAAAUACAUUGUACAUUUCCCAGCCUGAAGGUGAUCAUGGUAUUGGACGUGCGUGGGUGUGUGGCACACUACUGGAACCAUAAGCCCAAUCUCACUGUACUGAAAAAACUAACUGAUAUGCAAUUUUUUUUUAAUUAAACUACAUUUAAAACAUCAUCUUAGCAAAUUAGAUUAGCAAAAUACAUUUAGUUUUUAAUUUCCACCAAAGGUCAUUAUGUUAUUAUGCUGCCUAAAACUACCAAUAUUCAUAACAGGUUAUUAAAAACUUUGAUUUGGUUUUCAGGGCGAUGGUGAAAAAAAGAGUGUCUGCAAACACACACUGUUAGUUCAGAGCAGGCUUCAAUGAUGCCCAAGUGUCGACUCCUCGCAUCCCCUUUAAAAGCAGAACAUAGUGAGAGACCAGGCUGGAUUAAGUUAGGAGAAAACUAAAGACGUCCAAGCAGAAGUAUAAUAUAAUGUAGAGAAACCCCCUGUGUUAAAAUAGAUUGAUAUAGAAUAGACUACAUUUACUGCAAUUAGAACAUUGGAAAUAUUGUGGAUAGUCAGCUUCGUCCAUACAUUAAAAAAUGCCAUUAAAAAAGAUAACGACUACUUGCAAAUAACAACUCACUAGACAAAAAUGCACAUACAACCUGCACAAUAUGAAUAAUUGAAAAGAGCAAUGGACUCUGUAUGACAGAUGAAGGUAGUCUCGAGGAGUGGGAAGAGUUUGUGGUUCUGUUUGGUCUCUUGGGAAUGUGCUUCCUUCUGCGUUGAGGAGGUCACAGCCAUAUAGGGCUUGAAAUUCCUGUGUGUCAAAAAAUAUAUAAAACAAUGAGGCUGAUGGAAUCAGUGUCAACUCCACAUAUACUUUUAUUUAUAUACUUUUAUAAAACUAUUUUUAGUCUUUGGGUGUCGAAUAAGCUUAAAACUUGAGUCGGUUUGUGUACUUAAACUGAAUUUACGGCUCUUUAUUUCAUCUUUCAAACUUCAACAUUCAAACUGAAUACUGUUACAUCAACAAUCAAUCCUCAAUUGGGCGGCUGCCUGCCUUCAUUGUUAUUCCCAAGGGGACAAAGAGGCCAUAAUGUGUCUUCAAAUUGAGAAGUUCAUUUUAAAUGCAUUGCUUGAUGUUCUUGAUAGAAUCAAGUUUCCUUUCAUUAAUUAUUUGGAGAAUCUGUCUUUUUGGUCCAUUUUUGGGAAAUUGUCUAAAUAAUUUAUUUUGUAUUGUCCAAAAUCCCAAAUUUUCCCCAAAGGGCUUAACAAUCUGCACACAUACUUUCUCCAAAAAUGAUUUUAUUGAGGAGAAAAAAAAAUUACAUUUACAGAAUGAACCACAUAACAGAGAGGCAACACGUUCAAUGCACAUGACCUAAAUGCCUCAUAAUCGUAGUGAGCAGAUUAAUGAUCGAAAAACUACGAUAGCAUCAAUGCAUAUAUUAGACAAAUGAUAAUAGAGGCAGUAAUGGUACCUCUAAAUGCUAUAAAAUGUAUAAUAAUAACAACGAAAGUAGCAGUGGGUGUCGUGGCCAAACGGCACGACCAGGCUCCAGAUUGAACAAUGACCGUUUUAUCCUCUGAGGGGAGAAAGCACAAAGACUCGGGGGAAGAAGCAAAGAUAGUGACGUGAAUUAAUGGGUCAUGAAGUCAUACAGAAGGAGAGCAGAGGAGAGAGGAGCUCUGUGCACCUAAAGACGUCCCCGCGGCAGCGAAACUAGGGGCUGGUCCACAGCAAACCUGAGCCAGCCCUACACUAUAGGCUUUCUCAAGGGGCAAAGCCUUAAGCCUUUACUUUAGAAAAGCUUGAUAAGCUCCCAUCGCACAUUUUGAGACUCUAUAGCAGCCACAAGUAGCCCCACAUUCAGAGCACAGCUCUCUAGUGGGUGUAUAAGGUACUAUAAGCCCCUUAAGAUAUGAACGAGCCUGCUCAAUUAGGCCUUCGUAUAGUUGAGGAGGUUAUGUUUUUCAUUUCAAAAGGGAAGUGAAGCCAAAACAGGAGUAAAAUGACCGUAGUUUUCUUUCGUGACUACAUUUGGUGCAGCAUUCUGGAUUAACUGGAGACUCAAGGGACUAAUUAGAGCAGCCUGAUAAGGAAAUGCAAUGAUCUAUUCUAGAAGUAACAAAUGCACACGCUGCAUUGUAUAUGUAUGUGAAGAAAGGCAACCCUUGACGUAUAUUAUAUUUGGUAGUUAAUCAACGUAUCCUGAAAAAAUAUACAUCUUCAACUGGAUUAUUCAUUUUAAUUCUAGAGAGUGAUUAAACAAUUUGAUCAUUAACUCAUAUAUACAAAUCUUCUGGUAAACACACCAUAUCGAAAGCAAUAUUCUGGUUAUUAAUGUGAUGAGGGAAAUCCUAAUCCCUUUAACAUUUUUUUUUGAACGAUGAACGAAAGUAGUUGAUUGUGUUUAGGGGGUUGACCAAAGUGACAUCACUGUACCAGUACGAAGGAUUAAUAUAAAAAAUAUGCAGCUAUGCUAAACACUACCUGUCACAGAUUCCCAGUCCCACUCUACAGUAAACGACCGUAGCUGCUGAAAAGUGCUCACGACUGGAAUCCCUGAGUAAUCCAAUUCCAAGCAAUUAAUUGAAAAUAUGGGAUAACACCACUCAAGGUGUGCAGUGCCAACCCCAAAGAAACAACCCUAGUCAUGUGUCUGGAAACGCUGAGAGAGGAACAAUGUAGACUCACACAAACAGCAAAAAGCGCAUCCUCUCAUCAGCACAUACACACACACACACACAUCAGGAAAUAAGCCCCGUAAAAAACAAACAAAGCACUUUUAAGCACAUCCAAACACUCGUUUGAUAGACGCACGCACACAUUUGUUCAUUCAGCACUUUAAAGCAAACCAUUAGUCGCCCAAUCAGGCGGACGCCACGAGGGAGAGAGAGCUAAUUAACGGCCGCAUCGAAACGCCGAGCCUCACACUUUAUCGGGGUUUGGGGAAAUGCGAUGGGCCUCACUAAUACCUUUAUUGUUCUGUCUCUGGCUGUCAGUCAGUCCCUCUCUCCCUUCCAUCUCCCCAUUCAUAGUUCGUAGAAGAAAAAUCCAAUUACCAAAUAUACAAUAAAUUUACUGGGGACAGAUUAAUAUUAUAUUACAGGGGGGUGGAGGGGGCUACAUAUGCCUGGUCUGUACUCUAGUUUUUUAUAACAGAUGGUUUUUGCUACUGUUUUUAAGGCUCAGGAUAUCGCGCAGAGAACGUUUGUGCAUCGACUCAUUGCCGCGUUGAUUCACUCCGUCACGUGCCGUGUCUUCUCCGUGUCUUCUCCGUGGUCUCUCCUGGGGAACAGACAGGGGGUGUCCGCUCAGGGGCCCCCCUGGUUCCCGCCCUACCAGCUGCGACGUGUAAGUGAACACAGGUGUGCGGGAUCACAGAUUAGUGGAUAAGAGUCUGGGCUGAUCUCGACCGACAAAGACACAAAGAAGCUGUGUGUUUCCGGUGUGAAGUCGCCGCCGUUCAAGCGUGUGAGCUGGUGUUAAUAGUCUGACCCACUAGUGGGAUUCCCAGUGUGGUGUUUUGGGUUCCAUUAUUACUGCUGUUGGUUGGUGUCGCUUUACUAAGCUGUAAAAGUAGUCUUCCCUUGCUGCAUUUGUGAGCAUCUUUAAUAAAUCAUUUUAGUUUAAUCAUUUGUAGCCUAUUAAUUCGGUUCCCCUGACUUAUUUACUUUGGUACCCUCCUCCAACUCUAGACCUUGAGCAGGGAAUGUAAAACACACACACAAAUGACAUAUGCAUCGGUUUUCCAUUAUGAAAUGUAUUAAACCAGCAAUUCAGCUUCCACGGGAAUCCGUAGGUGUAGAUUAGUCAUUGAUUGAUGAGAAAUGCUGAAAUACAGAUAUCUAGUGUGUGAUACAGUCAUCUUUUAGAAAAACAGAAACAGGGAUGAUGGUGUAUCCCUCUGUCUGCUGUAGCGGAUUCGCUUUAACAACCUGAAGAGUCUGUCACGUCUGGCCUUGAGUUUGUUCUAUUGCUCAAAAAAUGGAUUAAUGGUAAAUUGACUGUACUUAUAUACUUUUCUGCCACUACCUUAACAAAGAGCUCUCAUCCACACACGCACACAAAAACCCACACUUAACAAUAGCAACUGAGCUGUCGUUCAAGGUGCAUUUAGAGCAACCGAGUUUGUGUCUUGUCCAAGGACACGUUGACACAAGGACGGUAUGAGCCGCCAACCAUGUUUGGUUUACUAUUAAUACUACCAUUAGUCCAUAUAUAUUUGUCCACAAAAUAGUAUUAUUAGAGACACACAGUCCUAAUCAAUAAAUAACACUAAUAACAAUACAUAUUAACAAAAUAAAGGAAUAUGAUAAAUGAGCUGGCUCAUUUACUAUUUGACAGCUCACAAUGCGGCACGGCUGCUUGUCUCCCAGUGUUGCUGCUUCCAGCAUCGCCGGGCGGGUCUCUUUAAUAUGCUUAUUGAUCAGUUCUAUGGAUUCUUUGUACCAACACGGAGACAGAUUUUAUGACCCGACCUCGUUGCUUAGUUGGUGCGUAUUUCACAGACAGUGGAGGGGCCUCAUGCCGCCUGUGCAUUCAGCUUUGCCUAUGUGAAAUGUACGCAUGCUUUGGAAUCGCUACGAGAUGCUCCAACUGGCCGGGCUCUGUCUAACACGGUAUAGUUAUAGAUCUGUGUGUGUACUAAACAGAGCCUGCACACUCAUAAAUAACUCCGUGCUUGUAAUUAUGUGCUGUGUGCCGGACAGGAGGAUUCCCUCUCGGGAUAUAGAACAUUUUACAAACACCAAUUGAGAUAUGUGCAGUUUACCUCACAACACCUACUUGUCAUAAUUCUCUCACCAUGAGAAUCCUCGCAACAUCACCCAACGCAGGCCAUCACGUUACCGUAUUGCAAGCCCUCGUGACGGUGGAGGGAACAGACAUCAGAGUCCAAACUAGAGGACGCCAUUUAAAGCUGUAGCAGCCACUUUCAUUUUAGCUCCACUAUAAGGAGUAAACAUUCCUCAAAAAAGCAAUGGCUGACAAACCUGUGAGCAAGUUAAUGAUAUUUUUGCAUUCCGUAACGCUGGGUGUCCGUAGCAACAUUAUCACAUUUCCCCCACGUUUCCUCGUUUUUCUUCCCAAUGGAUUUAUGUAUUGAAUGUGACGGAGCAGACGAGAUCUUUCUUAUGCUUCAUUUGAAUGCCGUUAUCAGCAACAUCAGUGGAAGCCGGUGAGCAGCAGGGUCCGGAGGCAGCCACGCGUGUCGCAAUCAUCGACGCUGCCUCCCACACGCUUCACAGGUGAGCAGACGUCCUCUGCCAUUUCCGUCUUAAUUAGGACAAGAGCACCGACAACGUUGCACCAGCGAGGCCCCUUUUGAAACCGUAGCGUCUCUUCUUCUGCCGUUAAUUAGCUUUCUGGGGGCUUUGAAAAACUAAAAAGAACCUCAACAAAUCAGGAGUUGUGAAUAAUUGGAUAUUUUAAAGGUCUCGGGUAUGAAGGGCGCCCCCCCCAGAGCUGAUUUUAACCUUGGAAGACAGAACCCCCUCAACGCGUAUGUCCGAUUCACUUGAAAUUUAACACACAUGAUGUCCAGUUUUAUUUUUCUGUGUUGCAUUGUUGGAUAAAUUUCAUCAGAAUCAACAACAGCUUGUUGACAUGGCUCCUUCCACAUUAGACAACAGGCUGGAUUCUCUCAACUCUGCCCCAAAGUUGCCUUAAUUGAAUCAAUUAAUUUACAUCGGGAAAAAUGUCCAUCUUGAAAUAUAUCUAAUUUUACAGGAAUUAACUAAAGUCUGUUCCUUGUGGCUCAAAAUUAAGGUUAUUCUGGUGUUAAUUGAUGUCACCAGAGCAGCCAUGAGCAUCUACCAAUGAGAGACACGUAUGUGCAGAGACUUUAUAAGUGGUUGUUCCAUUUCUCUGUUGUUGACAUCAUUGUUGUUGAAUUUAUGUUUUGGAUUCCCAUCAAAUUGGACUCUUACAUGGUUUAUUUUCUGUGCCUUUCUGAGUUUGAGUGGGUCGGUUUGCAGGGGAGAGUUGUGCUUUGUCUCGUGGCGCUUUGCAUUGCCGCUUUAAUAAUCUUCAAGGCCUCUGAACAUACGAUGUACGUUGUAUUGAACUGCCUGUGGAAAUAAUCCAAUUCUCCGUUAAAGGCUCUGGUUUUCCUGUCCAUUUUCUCAUUUUGCUACUGUUCUUCCAUUCCUUUUUGGAUCGGGUUGUAACCCGCUUAAACCGCGAUGCAAAUCAAAAUUAACAUAUUUCUGCACAAAUCUGUUUUAUUUUGUCCAACAAAUCCAGGGGCUUUUAGGUAAAAACUGCAUUUAUUUUGUCCUUUGGCCUAUGAACAUGUACUGUAUAACCAAGUACUGCAAUGUUUAUCUAUUGUGCAAUGGUGCGAGGGCCCGAUCAAUGCUUCUUGCAGCUUUAAUUCAUAUUUGGCUCCAUUGUUGUUGCUGAUGGAGGCUUGAAACCGUUGCUUCUUUGUGAUCGUAUUAAAGCCUCUUUAGAUGAUGUAUUCAUGAUGUUUCAUCCCUGCAAUUGUCAGUGUAUUUUUUUGGCCAUCUUUUUAAUCACAAGUUAGUUAGUUCCGUGACUUUCAAUGAGUUUCUUUUUUUAAAGUCUUAAAGCUCUGCCACGUCUCCAAUUUGAAUAUUUUUUUUAGAAUGUCAAUUUGAAAAGACUUUUUCGCAAAGAAAGAUCGCUUGUUAUCUUUGUAGUUUCAAAUCGAAAUCAAAUAAUCCACAAAUGCUCUAUCUUUAGAAUAACUAAUAAAACUACCAAAUUAAACAUGACAAAGGGAAUGAAUGAAUAAAUAAUUGAAGAGCACAAUCAAUAACAACAAACAACAACUAAAUGAAACCACAACGCGCUUUACUAGAGCUUCAAGUAUUUAAAUUGUGACUUUUUUUGUGCUUUAAUCAUUCAUCUUACCUUGCACAAGUAAAACAAACAACACAAUUCAAGCAUGAGAUAAUAUAAUUAAAUGGUCUGCUAUGGUCUUUAAUGAUGUCUAUAAGUCAUCUUUUAAAGCAAAAAAGCCACUUUAGGAUUGCAAGUGAAACAUGCGUGAGCCAGAAAUAGCAGAGAUUUCUUUUCUCCGGGUGCUUUAUCACACUUUGAAGGACACGUCUUGCCUGUGAUGUUCACAGAGUGGAGGUCGUGCUUCACCCUCCUUCAGACCACUACAGCAGUAAAAUGAGCUCGCGGACACCCGUCCUCACCCAGCGCCUAUCGUUAGCUCUCUGUCACUGGACUCUGAUGCUAAGGGCUCUCAAAAAACUUUCUUCGCCCAGACAGGGUGGCUAAUGAGGGUCCUCCUAAAACCAAGGCAAAGAUAUAAAAAAAGAAGUGGAGCAGAUUCAGAGACAUGCAUGAAAAGACAGAGCGAAAGGGUCAUUCACUAAUACAUAGGCGACCUGCAAAGCAGCAAGUACGUCUCGCUCAGAGCCACUACCUAUUAAAGACUCAGUGUAGAGAAAGCUGGCGAUAGACAAAGGGGGAGAAUGUGAGACAAAGAGAGACGUGGCAUUGAGAAAAUCUUCAUGACAUAAAACAGAAAGCUUGAUCAAUGGAUCCUUCAGUUACCUCGUUAAUAAAGACCAGCGCUUUUAUUAGACUCAGAGCUUUGCAAUAUUUAUACCAUGAAUAUUUCAGAGUCCCCAGCACAAGCCCAGACGCAGCCUUUCUGCAGGGGAGACAAGAUUUGCAGCCGUUCCUUUCCACCCAGACGGCCAGAGGAAAAGCAUUGAGGUCCUUCAUCACACUUUAUUAUUUUAACGUUGAGUAUGAAUAAGUGAAGAAAUAUCUCGUCUGAGUGAAACUAUUUCAGUGUCACAAUGCUAUGGCUGGCGUAAAAAAGGGAGGGGGAGGGCGUUAAACAGCAUAAUGUUAAGUCAGCCAGUAGUGUUUGCGUUGUUUAUGCCUGCAAGCACUGUGUAUGUUGAAUGUGACCGGUGAAAAAGCUGCCGUUACUCAAGAUGCAUGAAUCCAUUGACAAACAAGAGGCAUCAAAUCCGGAAGGUUUCCAAGUACAAUCUUGAUCAAGGCCACAUUUUUGACUUGUGAUGUUUGGCUUUAUAAAUAACGUUUUAAUUAGAAGCAGAAUAAAAAUGUUGAUCCAAUAAGACGUAUUAAUGGAGUGGAUACAAACACAGACACAAGAACGAAUUAACUUCAAUUCAGAGGUGUGACUGAUAUGUUGGCUUCUCACACUUAACUUGAAGGGUCGCUGCUGCUCGAACUCCUAAACAGAGGUCAAAGCUUUCCUUUGCAUUGAUAAUGGCUCUUUUUCCUGACCAAGGCUUUGGCUUCCACUCUCUCACCCUUCACUGCCCCGUCCUGGAGGCUGCCGGGCAGCAGGAAGCACACCGUCGUGUCCUCCAAGGCUUGCAGGUCAUCCAGGUGUUGAUCUGCCAAUCUCCACUGGCACAAGGCUUCUUCAGCCUUCCGCUGCCUUAUGUCCCCCUUUAUUUUCUUUGAACAUCUCUAGAGGCAGGAAACUGGCUGACCUUUUGAGCUUUACAGAAUUAUUUUGAAGAAAUUGUCUGAACCGAUCAGACUGCAUGAUGAGACAGUUGACAAACUGUAUAUUAGUACACCGGAAGAUUUAACUUACCGUCAGUUCACGCCAACCUGGUAAUGUAUUCCCUGUGUUCGCCAUUUUCUUAACGUCUGAAAAUGUCAGCAAAUACUUGCUUCAGCAUGCGUGACGGGUCAUUAAGCUGAAGGUGUCGUCCUCGAGGCUCCGGGUCUGUGAAGUCGGUUAAAAAAAAAAAAACUUUCACACAAGUUGUCCAAAACACCUUUGACAUUUCACAAUGACUGCCAGGCGGCCGGUGCUCUGGAGAGGCCCCAGUGUUGUAUCGACGUGGCUCAAGACAUAAGCGUGACGCGCGCUGCUUUGCACGGGCAACUUCCACGGCACAAAGUCCAAUGAGAAAGGGCCAAGUACACACACACACACACACACAGCAAUGUGAUGGAUCGCUCACCGCUGACUGACUAAUGCGGCUUGGCACCGAGGUGAGGAAAAGCCUCGAGGUCUGUUCAGACAGGCGCAGGGGAGGACGGCUUUGCAGGACUCUGUCCUCCAGCUGGGGCGCAGCGAUGCAGCAGAGUGCUGCGGCUUUCAGUGUAGGGUUGUUUUCUUUUGGGUAGUUUUUACUGUAUUUCUUACCUGGUACACACAUGCAGUCGGGCUUUACUUUGAAACCUGUAUAAAAAAAACCCUGGAUCAGCUCAUUUCAGAAAAAUAAUAGAAUAAAUCAUUUUAAUCCUUAAUUUCUCUCUUUAUAUCGAGAUAUAUAUAUAUAUAUAUACACACACACAUUUUAACACUGACCGUCUGCACACACAUGCCCCGUCCUCUUUGUUUACCUUUUAUUUUACAUUUCACAAGUCAUCCCAUUUGUCACAAUGCAAUGACUUGUGCGUAAAUCCCUUAACACCUUGCCCACUACCGCACCUCGUGUACUCCUCUGCUCACAGGUCUCAGUUUUACUGCCCUCUUCCCGACAUCCUCACCAUCCCCACGGAAACUGUAUUGGUCUUUUGAGUUGAUUAUUGUCAUUUACUGAGGAUAUAUAGUCUUGCACUCAGUAAAAAUACUGGUGAACUCUGGUUCAAAUUUCCUUCCAGUUGAUUAUCUGCUCGUGUUCCCUCCCAGGGGGGAAAAAAAAGAGAGUCAGGUUUUGAGCUCAGUUCAUCCAGCGCCCAUGUGACCUAAACAGGCUCCGCCCAGCACCCUCGGCAAAGUGCAAUGAUUUUUAAGUCAGCUGUGAUGAACAAGCUUGGACGUUCUGCUUCCGCUGCUGCACAGAGCGCAGUGUUGUCCAAAGUGUAUUAAUGCAGAAAAUCUUGUGUCCAAAUUACGCUGCAGUCAACACGUCGCCAUCGUACUUAUGACUGUAAGAAUGUUGUCCAUAUGAAUGAAAUAUAGCUGUAAAUGUACCAAAUGUAAAUGCACCAAGUGACUUUGCAAUAGAGUGUGCUGUAAAUCAAUCUGCCUGUUUUAUUUAAUUGGACAGCGGACUGUGGCAUUGAGACUUAUGUUGUUCAGACAAGGUCUGACGAAUCCAGACUGUUUAUUUGUAUAUUGGUAUGGGCUCGAUUAGUCUCUUUUAUGGGUGUAAUUUUCAUCAAUGUUGACGAAUAGUAAACCCCCAUUACUUCCAACUCCCCCUCCCCAAUUGUUUUAUAAUAACAUCCUGUAAAUAGUACUGAAAGAUAUAGAUCUAGAUCUUAAGUCACUUGCCAUGGAGAGAAACUGACCAUGCGGUUAAGGAAGUGUUGUAGGUGAGAGCGCUCACGGGUCCCACGAACAAUCCCCUCCACCUCAUCGGCAUUCACCCCAUCCUCCCUCUCUCCUUCCCUCCCUGCAUCCUCUGCAGACCCGCAAAACUGACCGCUUCGUCAGUUGCAUGAACACAACGGCCUCUCCAACUUAGCUUUGUCUUUAUCCUCUUCCCUCGCAAUUUUUCUUCAUUAAAUUCAGUCUCACCAUUUUCUUUCUCGCUCAGCUCUUUUACCCCAGCCCCGCCCGACCCCCUGCUCCCCUUCCUCUCCUCUCCUCUCCCUGCAGACCAUUCCAGGCCUGUUUAGUUAUGCAUCAUCAAGUGCACAUUUAGAGAUGUCAGAGAAUUGAUUGUUCCUCCCUCGCCUUCAUCUCCACCUUCGACUCUUUGACAGGCUCCCUUUUUUUUCCCCCUUUGUCUCUCUAGUUUCCCACAAUCCCCUUGGGCUUCACAGUCCCUGCUGACACCUGUGACAUCAUCCCCAGGUGAUCAGAGGAAUGCAUGUGUAUUAUAUUCUCCAAGAGUUAGUAGGAGGAAUCCAUGCGUCUGAGUGCAUGAGCCGUUUUGCUUAAAUAUAUAUACGGAUGAUUUUGUGUGUGAGCGUGAUAUCUGCAGCCACGUUACUGCAGGUUAUAUGCUGAAUAUGGUGGAUGGAUAUAGGCAGUUUUUUAAUUGGCUACAUUGAUUUAGGAAAAUAUAAAAUUGUGUGCACCGUUGAAGGUGAUGGAAAAAGAGUUUGCUAUUUGUGUCCUCUUAUUCCAUUAAUCUCAAAACACAGAGGGCCAAGUUGAAAGUCAGAGUUAAUACUUUAUUACUAAAAGGGACCCAAAUCUUUCAGUGAUUGUGCGGUCGCCUCUAAAAUGCAGAUGUCCGUUUUUAUUUCAUCACGUUUGAGCACAGCAAUUUAGUGGGUGGAAUACAUUUCCAUUACCUUCAACCCUCAGCCUCUCACUUAUUUAAUUGCAGUGUGCAAUAUAUGAAUCACAAUUAGUUGCAAGUCGCAAAAAAAGACAAAUACAAACAUCCAUUAGAGGAAAAGCGUUCAUGCACAGUACUUGCUACUCGAAAUCUAGUGUGUUUGUAAGAACAAUCAAAUAAAUCAUCGUCCUUGCUUUGAACUUAAUUUCUAUUGUGUGUAUAUACCUGCUGACACAACAUACACGAUCCAAUCCACUUCAUUUAGAUCAUUCAUUACUGUACUUAUACUUUAUUUGGUAUGUCUUGCUUUAGUAUCCAACACCACCUACCAGAAAUUACAGUCCUUUCAUAGUUUUCCGCAAACUAAAAUAAUAUCACCCAACUUUAAUCAAUUAAGCAAAUGUUUUUUCACAUUUUUCAACUUAAUAAAUAUAAUAGCACACAAUGAAUAAUUUAUCCUUUUUCAAACUGCCACUGGGCUUGUAUGACUUUGUUCUAAGGAAUCAUUUGGCAGGCCUCAGGAAGGUUUGAAUGAAAGUAAUCAUUUGUGCUUUGUGAAAGGGCUCAUAACAUGUGGCAUUUGAAAGUAAUACUUUUACAAAACCGAGGGAAGGGAAAAAAAAGAGAACUGAGGAAAUCAGCUUCAAGGACAAAAGCCCCACAGACCAAACAUGCAAUUCAGCCCAGGUAAGCAUCAGCUCGACUGCAGGCUUAUGGCAAUUUUUCAGAAACAAGUACAGAGUGUGUCCAGUUAAAUGGCUCAGCGCGAGAAAAGGGGUUGAAAUUCGAUAGAAGGAUCCUCUUUAUUCCGCUGCAAACUUUUGUCUUCCUGUAUAAUCCUUUUGUAACUUUUUCUGGAUGUUAUAAUGUUAUGUAUCUUUUUUUUAAGUGUACAAAAAAGCUCCGAAAACAAAUCCGUCUUAGAGAAUUUUUAUUCAAUUAUUGCAAAUUCUGUUACUUUUCCAAUCCUUCAGUUGUAACAGGAUUGCACAGCGGACUUGGCAUCUAGUAAGAGUUUUUAAUAAAUCAAUGUUGAAGAAACCAAAAACAACGGAUAAUCAACCUCAUUUCCAGAGCGCGUUUGCCAAACUAGAUCAAAGCUACAGAAUCAGACCGGGCCACUGUCCAACUUACUUCUCCACCCUGGCGCUCUAAGGGAGCCCCCCCCCC